GAGGAUGAGAUAGCGAGAGGAGCCGUCAUGGUGCUGGUCAAGGAGUACAGGAUACCCCUCCCGCUCACAGUGGAAGAGUAUAGGAUCGCCCAGCUCUUCAUGAUCGCAAGAAACACAAAAUAGAUAUAAAAGUGAAUGGAUAUUUGGAUUCCCGAGUCCAGCUAGUUCAGUCUUUAACACUGCUGCCAACAAGAUGGUGUUAACGGUGGAGUAUCGGAUACCUCUACCACUAACGGUGGAGGAAUAUAGGAUCGCACAGCUCUACAUGUUAGCGAAAAAGUCGCGGCAAGAGAGCCAUGGCGAAGGAAGUGGCGUUGAGAUCUUGGUCAAUGAGCCCUAUGAAAAUGGCCCUGGGCCAGACGGCAAAGGCCAAUACACCCAUAAAGUUUACCAUGUUGGCAGCCAUUUACCAGGGUGGCUGAAAUCGCUCAUCCCAAAGUCAGCCCUGUCAGUCGAAGAAGAAGCAUGGAACGCUUAUCCCUAUACCAAAACCCGCUUCACGUGUCCCUUUGUGGAGAAGUUUAGCAUUGAAGUGGAAACGUACUACCACAACGACGGGGGGCACCAGGAGAAUGUCUUCAAGCUCUCCAAGUCGGAGAUGAAGCAGAGGGAAGUUGAUCUCAUUGAUGUUGUGCGAGACCAGUUGUAUGGAGCUGACUACAAGGAGGAAGAAGAUCCCCGUAAAUAUGUGUCACAAAAGACCAGUCGUGGACCCCUGGGAGAUAAUUGGAUCAAUGACUACUGGGAUAUGUGCAAGGAUAAACCAACCCCCUUGCCUAACGGUGAGGCAAUUAUGUGUGCAUACAAGUUAUGCAAGGUAGAGUUUCGCUACUGGGGUAUGCAGACGAAAAUAGAAAAAUUUAUUCAUGAUGUUGCUCUUAGGAAGACCAUGCUUCGGGCUCACAGACAAGCUUGGGCUUGGAUGGACGAGUGGUGGGGGCUAACCAUAGAAGAUAUACGUAACAUUGAAAAGGAGACCCAGGAUCUUCUUGCUAAAAAAUAUGGUGCAGGGGAUGAUGAAGAGGGUGAGGAGGAGGAGGAGGAAGGUGACAGAGGAAAUGUUACACCAGAAGUUAAUGCAGACUUACCUCAGAGCCCAAGUGUUUCGUCUGAUAGAACCCCUAAUCUAGAACAGCUGAGUCAAAGCGAUUCAUUUAGGACUAGCAAUGAUUUAGGUGAGCGUCAUUUAUACGAAGAUGAGGAGGGAGUGGUAAAGGGAGGAAUGAAGAACAUAAACAAUAAUAACAAUAAUAUGGAUGGAAAUGACAGUAGAAGAUUUUCGGGCACGAGUCCCAAGCUCAGAAGAAGGGAGUUGAACGUGAGCAUGGACAGUGUUCUCACAGAUGAAACCAGAAAGAGAGGGUCUUGGUCAAGAAGUGGAUCUAGAAACACAUUAAAUUCUCAGAACCAAGCAAACUGGAGAAUGGAGAGUAUUAGAAGAGACUCAGAGUCAUCAGGAAGCGACGAAGAAUUCUUUGACUGCCAAGAAGACCUGGAGGAGACAGCUGCAUUACACAAGUGGAGUUCAUUAGAGCUUUUGCCUCAAGACAGUGAUACUCAGUCUACCAUCAGCCAGUCAGGCAAUGAAGCAGACAGUAUCUUCUCCCAGUCCUUUAUGUCAAGGGUGGCUGCCGAGCGCAGUCGGGUUCUGGGUCGUAGCAUGGAGGCCUCGGCGCCAUCGUCCCCGUCCCACUCCCCCUCUCACCAGCCAGGUCCCUGCUCGAACACUGUCCUGCUUCUAGUCAUUCAUGCUGGAUCCGUCCUUGAUCCAAAUUCAGAUGUGAUGAACAAGAGAAGUGACUUGACCACCUUCAGGGGAGCCUUUGAAUCAGUGAUGCGACAACAUUACCCGCAUAUGGUUGGACAUGUUGCUGUGAGACUCGUUUCUGCUGCUCCUGUUUGUUCUGAUAGUCUUAAUGUGUUGUCAAGCUUAAGCCCAUAUGGCUUAGAUUCUUCUCCUGUGUGUGGUGAAACUUCUGGAGGUGACAGUGUACCUGUGGGAGCUGUGCCUCUGCUUGCCACUGCUACUCCUGAGUAUGAGGACGCUGUAACGCGCACCCUCAAUGCCACCAAUGCUGCUUACCAUGAAUUCCUCAGGUCGGAAGAAGGGCAUGGAUUUAAUGGGCAGGUUUGCCUGAUUGGUGACAGCGUAGGUGGCAUCUUAGUAUAUGAUAUUCUUUGCCGUGUCCAUGAGCAACACAAGUACGGGAGCAAUAGCAACAUUCCUGAGGGAGAGCCUCCUUCCCCGGGUCAGUACUGCAAGCAGAAGCCUUCUCCAGCACAUCCUAGUUCCUCAUCUCUCUCCCCAGCGUCUCCUCCAUCAGGUUCUCCAGACCCUCCCCAGACCUCCUCCCCAGUCAUAUCUCCGUCCCCAUCUAUAACUGUUAGCAUUGAUAAUGCUUUGACAAACCCCUCAGGUGAUGAAACUUCUGACGGAUCAAAGGUUUAUCGGAAAUCUGUCAGCGCAGAUGCCACUCACCACUCCGAUGUCCCCCAUUGCCGAUCAGUGUCCGACUCUGAUUACCAUUACGCUAGGCAUCUCUCAGCCCCCUUCCCUCGGCGGAGGUCGUCUUCAUCGAGUCCCCAGCGCAAGUCUUCAUCUUCAAGUGACCAUGGCCACAGCAGACUGGAUUUCGAAGUCUCAGACGUUUUCAUGUUUGGGUGUCCAUUAGCCCUUGUAUUAGUGUACCGCAAGAUGGUGAAUGCCGAAGAUAAGAACUGUAUGAUACAGAGACCAGCUUGCCAACAAGUGUAUAACUUAUUCCACCCAACGGAUCCAUUGGCUGUCCGUUUGGAGCCUUUACUCUCGGCCAGAUUUUCUCUACUCCCUCCAAUCACGAUUCCCCGCUACACAAAGUACCCUCUUGGAGACGGGAACCCAACACAUCUGCUGGAAUGCAUUCAGACUCAUGGAGAGGUGUUCCUGGACAUUGGAGGAGCCACUGGAUCUCCGUCUUUAGCAGGACAGACUCGAAGAAUGUCCGACGCCUCUAUUCUUUCCACCAUGUCAGGAAUGGCAGAUACUGUUCCUCUUGCAACAAUCAAUGCUUUGAGUCAGCGCUGGUGGGGAACGAAACGUCUGGAUUAUGCCCUCUACUGCCCUGAGGGCCUUGCAAACUUCCCAACCAACUCCUUGCCUCAUUUAUUCCAUGCAUCAUACUGGGAGUCCUCAGAUGUGAUUGCUUUCAUUCUCAGACAGCUGGUUCGAACAGAUCACGCAGCUCUCACAGCAGAUGACAAAGAUCUGCCAGUGUUCUCCCCCACACAGCCCAGGGAGAAGUGGAUGAAGAAGAGAACCUCUGUCAAGAUUAAGAAUGUUGCUGCCAAUCAUAGAGGGAAUGAUGUCAUUGUACGUGAAGGUGCACCGCAGUGCAUACAAGCAAGAUUCAUGUAUGGACCUCUAGAUAUGGUUGCUCUCUCAGGUGAAAAAGUGGACAUUCACAUCAUGCGAGAUCCCCCAGGAGGGGACUGGCAGCAAAUAAGCACAGAAGUAACUGACAAGAAUGGGCGCAUAUCAUUCACAAUUGCUCCAGAGAAAGCUCUUGGGUAUGGGAUGUAUCCCGUGAAAAUGAUUGUCAGAGGUGACCACACUAGUGCUACUCUUUACCUGACGGUUGUGCCCCCCAAAACUGAGUGUGUAGUGUUUAGCAUUGAUGGGUCCUUCACAGCAUCGGUGUCAGUAACAGGCCGGGAUCCUAAAGUUCGCGCAGGAGCCGUUGACGUUGUUCGACACUGGCAAGAACUUGGAUACUUGAUAAUCUACGUGACUGGCCGGCCAGACAUGCAGCAGCAGAAGGUUGUGUCCUGGCUGGCCCAACACAACUUCCCUCAUGGCCUUGUCUCCUUUGCCGAUGGUCUCACCAGGGAUCCACUGGCACACAAAGCUGAAUAUCUUCGAGGAUUGAUCCAAGAUCACGCAAUUGUCAUUGUAGCAGCAUAUGGUAGUUCAAAGGACAUAGCAGUGUACAACAGCAUUGGCUUGAAGACAGGACAGAUUUACAUUGUGGGAAAGGCCAGCAAAAAGCAGCAUGCAAAUGCACAGGUCUUAAGUGACGGUUAUGCUGCCCAUUUGUCCUCGCUCUCAGCCUUAGGCAAAUCCAGGCCUGCGAGAGGAAACCCACAGAUGGUCAUUCCCCGUGGAUUCUUUGGUCUGCCCGGCCAAAACAAUGCUUUGAGGAGACGACGAUACUGGGCAGCCCAGAAAGUGUCUUCGAAUCGCAAAGAAUGAUAAGUCAGCAGAUAGAAAUGGCAGUAUGUGCAGGAUUCAACCAUUUCAUUGUCUAGACUGCACAGUGCUUUCUUGUUGACUGGAUUCCAGUUAUCUUGAUUCCAUGAGAAUUCUGCCAAACGGACUACGUCUUUUCCCGUCCUGGGAGCUUCAGCAAGUGAAGGUGUAAUCAGGUCCAGAGGUUCAUCUCACUCCCCACAUCCAAAUCAUAUGAGCAUGAGACGAUAGUAGUACCUGUUUUGAACACAGAGUUGGACUGUUAUUUAUGUUAAUUAGGCAAGAGGGAAAAAGGAUGGAUAUUGAUGACUGCAGAGAUUUGCUUUGAUCAUUGGUGAUGGCAAAAGGUUGAUGGGUUAUAUGCUGCUUGACAUGUGUGGUCUGACAUUAUGACUGUUUAUGGAAGAUUGUAUGAAAAGUGACAAGACUGUAUGAAUGUAACUAUUAGAGAUUUUAUGAAAUCUUAUUGGAACAGUGCAGUGAAGAAUGUGCAAUUUUUUUAAACUCGUUUUUUUUUUCUUCUUCUUCUUCUUUUUUAAUGAAAUGUGAUGCUUUCCCUGGUAUACAUGUAGGAGAGAAUUAAACUGCUGUGUAUCUUAGUAGGAACUGUUGCCAUACUUUAGUAUUUGUUUAAAGGAUCACAAUUAUGCAUGUUUAUACUUGGUUACAGUUGUAUGUUUGUAUUCAAGUGUACAGAAUAUUAUUUGAACAUCAUAUAUCUUAAUGAUGGAUAGACUUUAUUGUAAAGAGUAUUCUCUUGAAGUGACAAUUGUGAACUUCAUGUUACUGAUAUUGUAAUAGAAUUUAUCUCAGGUUAUGAUUCAGUGUUAAUGAAGAAAAUGAUACUGUGCUGUGUAUUUUACUGCUAGAAGGAUCCAUUGUUUUGCCAUAAUUAUGUUUGUACAGUAUUAUAUAGAUAUGGAAAUUCAGUUCAGUCAUAUUUCAGUCCCACUUUUUAAGAUGUUCUUGUAUCAAGUUCAGUUUAUAUAUUCUUUUGCAAAUCGACUUUUAGCAGUUGUAAGAAAAGUAACAGAAAAGGCAGUAUUACAUAGAUAUUACCUUAGGAAUUAUAUCAUUUAUAUUUAUUAUUCUUAUUUAUUAAAUUUUCUGAAGUUAUGUUUGUUUUUUCAGUAGGAAAUCUUGGAUGAAUUUAAACCCCCUUUAGUCUCAAUUUGUUCUUGUAUUCUGCAACAUGAUGUCUCACCUUCGAGAACUAUAUAAUGUGGAUUCAGUCAUUACUUAAGAGGACGUUCUGUGCAAAGUUCCCGCUAAUUGCCCUUGUUAAUUAACUUCUCUAAUAUCCUGUCCUAGAAAAGAAGCAGUCACUCUCUGUGUCUUCUGGUAUUAGUUAAGAAAUUUCUGUAUGUACAGAAUAUUGAUAUUGUUAUACCUAGUUUUUAUGUAGCUUGAUAUUAGUAAAUUAUGUUUUUAAUGAUAAUAUCAAAACAUUUGUUAUUAGCUGUAUAUCAUAUUUUAAUGUCAGAAACAUAGUGAAAAAGAAAAUAUAUAACAGUAAGUUAGAAUACUCAGUCUGUAUGUCAUAUGAACUUGGUAACUAGAGUAUAUGUUAUUUUUUUUUCUCUAAAUUAUUUAUUAUAUUUUAAGUCUGUUAUUUACAAUGAAAUUCUUUGGGAAAGAUCCCUUUGUUAAAAGACAGGUCUGUGUUGUGGCCAAAGUUUUGUCUAUUAAUCGUUGAGUAAAGUUUUGUGAAUAUAAUUUUCUCACCCUUUACUUUUAUAUUAUUAAAUUCAUUACAAAUCCUGGUCUAUAGAUAUUUGAAAUGUGAAAGGUAAUUGAAGUUAUUGACAAGAAUACUGGAUGUCAGUUUCUCUUUAUAUAAGAACGUGCUAGCUCAGUACAUCUUUGUAUUUUGUGCCGACCUUCAAGGAAAGGGUCAGAAAAAACAUGAGAAGGAAAAAGAAAAAAGAAAAGCAAGUUUACAACACAUAAUCUGGUGGCCUUUAGUGUAAGGCAGAUAUCUAGUCAGGGAAGAUGUCUUGAUUCAGAAACACUCAAAAUGGUAAGAGAUCCUAAAAAUGCCAUGA